rnacentral:rRNA from 1 species
GACGAACGCUGGCGGCGUGCCUAAUACAUGCAAGUCGAGCGAUGAAGCUAGGUGCUUGCACCUCUUUGAAGAGCAGCGAACGGGUGAGUAACGCGUGGGGAAUCUGCCUUUGAGCGGGGGAUAACAUUGGGAAACGAAUGCUAAUACCGCAUAAUAACUUUAAACAUAAGGUUUAAGUGUGAAAGAUGCAAUUGCAUCACUCAAUGAUGAUCCCGCGUUGUAUUAGCUAGGUGGUGAGGUAAAGGCCCACCAAAGCGAUGAUACAUAGCCGACCCGAGAGGGUGAUCGGCCACCUUGGGACCGAGACCCGGCUCCAACCUCCUCGGGAGGGCGCAGUAGGGAAACUUCGGCCAUUGGCGGAAGUCUUAACGGGCCACGCCGGGUGAGGGAAGGAGGGUCUCCGAUCGGAAAACUCGGGUGGUAGGGAAGAAAGAUGGUUAGAGUUGAAUGCGCAUAAAGUGACGGUAACUACUCAGAAAGGGACGGCUAACUACGUG